UACGAAGGGGGCUAGCGUUGUUCGGAAUUACUGGGCGUAAAGCGCACGUAGGCGGAUAUUUAAGUCAGGUGUGAAAUCUCGGGGCUCAACCCCGAAACUGCACUUGAUACUGCCUUGCUAGAGUACUGGAGAGGAGAUUGGAAUUUACGGUGUAGCAGUGAAAUGCGUAGAUAUCGUAAGGAAGACCAGUGGCGAAGGCGAAUCUCUGGACAGUUACUGACACUGAGGCACGAAGGCCAGGGGAGCAAACGGG
rnacentral:rRNA from 1 species